rnacentral:rRNA from 1 species
GAGGAAUAUUGGACAAUGGAGGCAACUCUGAUCCAGCCAUGCCGCGUGCAGGAAGACGGCCCUAUGGGUUGUAAACUGCUUUUAUACGGGAAGAACCACAUCUACG